UCUAGCAUCGUGCCAGCGCACGCGGUAAUAAGGUGGCUGUGAGCGUAGAUCGGAAGUAAUGGGCGUAAAUUGAGCGCACGCGGCCGCUGAAGGCAGAUGUGAAAUCCCAGGGCUGAACUUGGGAAGUGCGUGCGAAACGACGUGGCUAGAGUGGGGCAGAGGAAGGUGGAAUUCCACGUGUAGCGGUGAAAUGCGUAGAGAUGUGGAGGAACACCGAUGGCGAAGGCAGCCUUCUGGGCCAACACUGACGCUGAUGCACGAAAGCGUGGGGAGCAAACAGGAUUAGAUACCCCAGUAGUC
rnacentral:rRNA from 1 species